GGUGAGAAGGGAGAAGGGGGACCUCGUGGGGAGAGCAGCCUUAAGGGUUUCCAAGGAGACCGAGGUAAACAAGGAGUACAAGGGCCCACUGGAGCACCAGGGAAACAGGGUUCCAGGGGUUCCCCAGGCGACAGAGGGAAGCAGGGCGUCUCAGGACUGAAGGGUCAGCCUGGCAAUAGAGGCUUGUCAGGUCUUCCAGGGCGAUAUGGAACAGGGGGGAGUACAGGACCUGGUGGCGCCAAGGGACGAAAGGGCAUCCAUGGACAAAGGGGGCCUCCAGGAAGUCUAGGCCCUGCAGGUUUAAUAGGCCCUAAAGGACCACGAGGUUCACCUGGAAAGAGGGGUGCAGGUGGUAAAGAUGGAAAUCCAGGGCCAAAGG